GACGUAGGGGGCGAGCGUUGUCCGGAUUUAUUGGGCGUAAAGAGCUCGUAGGCGGCUUGUCGCGUCGUCCGUGAAACUUGGGGCUCAACCCCAAGCUUGCGGUCGAUACGGGCAGGCUCGAGUUCGGUAGGGGAGACUGGAAUUCCUGGUGUAGCGGUGAAAUGCGCAGAUAUCAGGAGGAACACCGGUGGCGAAGGCGGGUCUCACUGGGUCCGGUAUGACGUGCUGAGGACGAAAGCGUGGGGAGCAAACAGGAUUAGAACCGUACGCAGACCAAGCCAUCUCACCGAC
rnacentral:rRNA from 1 species